AUGAUCUUCUCUAAGCCGCCUUCGACCAGGCCAACCGUUACCGCGUCGACUCCACGGCGCAGGUCAUCGCUCAGCUCGACGCCAAGCUCGACUUGCUUUCGGCCCGGAUCGACGAAGUCACGGUGUCGAUCAGCGUCGACAUCGAUGAGCUGCGGCAUGGGCUUGACCGGUCCGCGACAAAUUCGUCAGACCCCUCCAAGAGCGCGUCGGCCAUGCCAUCACGAGCGGCGAGCAGUUGCCCAACAGGCCCUGAUGGGCACCGCGUCGACAAUGAAAAUCAGGGGUAUGGGCAUAGGAUCUAUGUUCCACCUCUGGUCAAAGGUAUGCAGUUCGAUCAAUCCCUACAGAGAACCCCAUUCAAUUCGAUCGAAAAAUUUCGACAAAAUUCUUCUGAUGUAUAUGGGAUUGGUCCUCGCAACGAGCUUCCUUGUUUCGAUGGCACCAAUCCAAAACUCUGAUAGACGCAUAGUGAAGAUUACUUCAUGUUCUAGGGUACGCCAUCGUUCGGGUGGAUUUCUCUAG
rnacentral:rRNA from 1 species